CCCAAUAGAUAGGCCGGGGAUGUAAGGGACAGUCCUAUCCUGGACUGGCAAGAGAGCUCGAAAUCACAAAUCCCUCUGCCAUGUCUACUGAUUAUGACACAAUGCUGUGUCAUUGAUUAUGAAAGGUAUGCCCCUUACAUCAUCCAGUCACCUCAGUCCCAUGUUCUCAGGGAAUGGCCUUCAUCCUGGUAAUAGCAGUACUGUCCAGUGGGAGCCGAUUGGAAUGGUCGGAGAAGGAGCUGGACUGCAAGGGAUCAGGAGGAGCAGGGGGAAUGGCACUGGGGGGAGGGGGAUCCUCCCCACACACCCCUCAGUCCCAGCAGCCUUGGUGACCGCUGUCAGCUUGGCACAUCCACCAGCUCAUUGGUUCGAAGACAGUAGAGCAGCCGGAACGAAGAAAGAAAUGAGCCCUUCCUAUGUGUGACCCCAAGGUAGCAAGAAAGUGAUUGACAGCACCCCUGUGACCAGAUCAUAGAAUGUCAGGAUGGCAAGUGACCUUCAAGAUUUUAAUUGCUUCGUUUUCCAAAAGAUGGAGUAGCACUCGGAAAGGAAGUGUCUUAGUCACAUGAGACAUAAAGAGCAGAACUAGGGAUUGUACCUGGGUCCUUUGGCAAUGCACACAUUGCUCUCUGCCUCGCCCCCUCCCCCAUUUAUUCUGCUAACACCUUUGUCACUGGUUAGGGUCAAGAGCCAGGUGCUUUAAUCAUAUGCUGGGGGCAGGAAGUAGCAGAAAGGAAGCAGGAAAAAUCGAAGAAGAGAUUCAAUGAAAGAAGAGUUCGAUUUCCUCCCACAUCUCUCAUGCUAGAAUCCUGAUCAAUCUUCCUGGGGCUCUUUGGAAACUGGGCAACAAUUCCCCUCAAACCUGUGCCCUGAGUGAGGGGGCAGGGAUGGUGGAUAGGGAGCACACCUUUUAUUGGGGGAGGGGAAAGAUUGAUAUCUACCAAAAAUCCUGCAAUUUGACUUGCUUGGGAACAUCCUCACCUUGGCUACUCACGCCCUGGCCUCC